GAACCGGUGUAGCGUGAUUAUCACACGGUCGUGACCAGGUCCACGGUUUAUAUAUGUUUUUCAAAACCUGCCCAAAUGCUUAUUCUUUGUUCAAUAUUUGCAAAAUUUUGCAUAUUAAAUUCUCAAAGAUAGCUUUUGUAAAUUACAUAAUUUGAUUUUGAUUUUAUAUUCCUGAAAUUUAAAUAUAUUGAUUUGAAUAUGCCCAAUUUGACGUAUUUUACCGGCUUUUAUGGUGCUUCAGAAAAAACUUGCAGAACACAGUAACUUAUCUUUUUCACGAAUCAGAUUGUCUUAAAACUUGCUAGAGGUGUUAAAUAUUGUGCAUGGGACUAUUGUUUGUGAAUAGCUACUCAAAAUAAUAAGAUUUACACGCUCUGAAAAUCACCUUUUUGUCUAAAAAUCUACGAAAAACAUGGCCGCGGUGCGCAAAUAAUGAGUUGGUUAUUUAAAAAAUGUCCUUUUAUUCUUCAGUAAAAUUUCUUGUUAAUUUAAGACUCUAAUAACUUGCUUGACAUACCCAUAGGCAAAUAUCUGUUAUCGGUGUAAUUACACCUUUGGAGAAAAGCGUGAUUCGCACGUUUUAAUUUCAUCAUUCGCCGCCUGAAGAGACAAGAUGGCGGAGCUUGUGAAAUCGAAAUAAAUAAUAAUUAAAGACACUGAUUCUGGUGUGCCUGGUAUGUGGCCUAUGGGGAUGAUAAGGUCUGGUAUUGGAGAAUGGUACUUGAAAGUCAAUGGUUGAUCAUGAUGACCAUCUUUAAUUUAAUGGGGAAAGAUUAACCAAUAUUUGCAGCUGGAGAGGCUGUCACCACAGUUCAAUGAUUUAGUUAAGACAAUGAAAUAGAAGAACUUCAUGCUAACACUUGCAUCAGUGGAAGUACUUCUUAUUGGAUAGAGAACUUUACAAGGUCAGCCAUCAGCUUUUGAAGUUGCUUUCUUGGCACAUCAUGCUGUCCAGUGGAGUUCAUACCAUAUGCCAGGCCUUUAUACAUGGUCAAAGAAGAUGAAUUUGUUAUUCAAUUUGUGAAAUUUGAUUUAAGGAGGACUUUCAUAUAUUAUAUUCAGCAGAUUAUCUUCAAGUGUGCACUUCAUAGAAUCACAGUUUCUAGGAGGUUUUCAGUUUAAAGUUAGAUUAAUUGAAAAAUAAGUAAACCUAUCAUACUCACCAUUGCAUCGGCAUUGGCAUUACACCAGUUUUAAGUUUUUCUUACCAGUCCAUAUUUUAAAAGGACCUUUUGAAAGUAUUGAAACUUACAACAGUAAUUUAUCAUCAUUAUACCAUGUUUUAGGCAAAAGUACAUAACUCCAUCAAGGAUUUGUCUGAACUAUGGCCCUUUGAAACUUUUGUCACUUGUUUAUAAUAAUAGUCUCUAUAGGCAAGAGUUAAUAACACUGUAGAGUAAUUUGGUUGAAUUAUGUCCCUUUUGGACUUUGAAAUUGGUUCAGUUUUUGUACAAGUACACAUUUUGACAUAUAGCUUUGAAUCUUUCAACACUAAGUCUUACCAUUACAAUAAUAUAACUUAAAAUAGUUGUUCAACAUCAUCACCCACAUCAUACGACACAAGAUGCAUAACUCUUGCACCAAAAUUUAAUAAAUUAUGCCCUUUUUUGCUUAAAAUGUACUUGUAUAGUGUUUUGAUACACUUUAUCUUUUUUGUCUCUCAUAUUACAUAAUAUUUUAAAACAGACUUAGUUAUUAUGCAAUAUCUUCAUCAGCCAUUGGAGCCAUUAGUUGGUGUUAAGAUCCUAUAAUUGUAAAACAUAAAAUAAAUGUUGAAAGUUUCAUAAAAG